CGCUCCCGGCCCCCCCACCCUCUCUCAUCCCCGCGGGUUUGGGGCGGCGGCGGCGGCGGCGGCGGCAGCGGCGGCGCGG
rnacentral:miRNA from 1 species